rnacentral:rRNA from 1 species
UACGAAGGGGGCUAGCGUUGUUCGGAUUUACUGGGCGUAAAGCGCGCGUAGGCGGAUCGUUAAGUCGGGGGUGAAAUCCUGGAGCUCAACUCCAGAACUGCCUUCGAUACUGGCGAUCUCGAGUCCGGAAGAGGUGAGUGGAACUCCUAGUGUAGAGGUGGAAUUCGUAGAUAUUAGGAAGAACACCAGUGGCGAAGGCAGCCUCCUGGGCCAACACUGACGCUCAUGCACGAAAGCGUGGGGAGCAAACAGG